GAUGCUGCCGCGGGAGUCGGACCCUCUCCUCCUUGUGGGCUGUCCGCUCGCAGCCUCGACGCCCACCGCCCGCAGCACCCAGCCUAGCGUGUACGCCCACUUUUCCCCCGAUCAGCCUGGCCUCCCGCCUUCCUACGUGCCCGAGCUCUCCACCGCGACCUUGCCCAAGGCCUUCCCCCGUGACCUGCCCUCCGACCUGCCCUACCCCACCCACGACCUCACCAUAACGUCCCUCCUGCCCCCCUACGCCCACCACUCCCUCACCCUCGGCAGGAACGGCUCCCUCUCCUCGGGACGAGCCACGCCCUCCUGCUCGUCCUCCACGUCCUCCACCAACCACCACGGGUCUGCCUCCACCGUGGCCUUCCACCCUGAGAGCGAUUCUCCCAGGGCGCCUUUAGUCACCCCGCGAGAUAAGACUAGCAGCCCCAACCACCGGGAGAGCUCGGUCUAGUCUCCCUCCUCGGGGAUAGUCUCCAUCCCGACUAGUUACAACCCUAUGUCUGUCACUCUAUCCAGGAGCCGAAUCGUGCAGAGCCGGAGCGAAGGGGAGGAAGAGGGGGGAGAAGAAUCAGCCAGUGCAGUGACGUCUCGCAGGUCUCCCUCGCGGAUUCAGUGGACGACCUGCAAGCCUCCACCAGGUUCUAGGGCUUCUUCCGUCGGAGCCAGGACGCCUUCGCCAGAUCCCAGGAGAACAUCAAGGUCUCGUUCGGCUUCGAGGGCGUCCUCCUCUGUCGGCGGCAGGUCACCCUCGCCCGAUCCGAGGACUUUAUCGGCAGCCAAGGACCCCAGGCCCUCCGCUUCAGCCAGGACGCCUUCGCCAGGACCAAAGGGCGCGGUGGCAACUCUCCCUUGCCUGCCAGAGAAGCUGAGGAUCGUGUGUCCUCUCGAUUCGAAAAUAAGGAUAGAACUGAAGAUGUAAGGACUCCUGUGUCCGGAGCUAAGUGACUGUGGCCGGUCGAUCUGGUUGAUAUCCGCCGUUUUUUUCUUUCUUUUUAUCAGGACGAGGAGGACUCCAGUCAUAUAAGUAAUAUAUAUAUAAAUAUAUACAUAUAAAAAGCGUAUAAUUAUUUCUAAAUCCAUUAUGAA